UUAAGCGACUAAGCGUACACGGUGGAUGCCCUGGCAGUCAGAGGCGAUGAAGGACGUGCUAAUCUGCGAUAAGCGUCGGUAAGGUGAUAUGAACCGUUAUAACCGGCGAUUUCCGAAUGGGGAAACCCAGUGUGUUUCGACACACUAUCAUUAACUGAAUCCAUAGGUUAAUGAGGCGAACCGGGGGAACUGAAACAUCUAAGUACCCCGAGGAAAAGAAAUCAACCGAGAUUCCCCCAGUAGCGGCGAGCGAACGGGGAGCAGCCCAGAGCCUGAAUCAGUAUGUGUGUUAGUGGAAGCGUCUGGAAAGGCGCGCGAUACAGGGUGACAGCCCCGUACACAAAAAUGCACAUGCUGUGAGCUCGAUGAGUAGGGCGGGACACGUGGUAUCCUGUCUGAAUAUGGGGGGACCAUCCUCCAAGGCUAAAUACUCCUGACUGACCGAUAGUGAACCAGUACCGUGAGGGAAAGGCGAAAAGAACCCCGGCGAGGGGAGUGAAAAAGAACCUGAAACCGUGUACGUACAAGCAGUGGGAGCACGCUUAGGCGUGUGACUGCGUACCUUUUGUAUAAUGGGUCAGCGACUUAUAUUCUGUAGCAAGGUUAACCGAAUAGGGGAGCCGAAGGGAAACCGAGUCUUAACUGGGCGUUAAGUUGCAGGGUAUAGACCCGAAACCCGGUGAUCUAGCCAUGGGCAGGUUGAAGGUUGGGUAACACUAACUGGAGGACCGAACCGACUAAUGUUGAAAAAUUAGCGGAUGACUUGUGGCUGGGGGUGAAAGGCCAAUCAAACCGGGAGAUAGCUGGUUCUCCCCGAAAGCUAUUUAGGUAGCGCCUCGUGAAUUCAUCUCCGGGGGUAGAGCACUGUUUCGGCAAGGGGGUCAUCCCGACUUACCAACCCGAUGCAAACUGCGAAUACCGGAGAAUGUUAUCACGGGAGACACACGGCGGGUGCUAACGUCCGUCGUGAAGAGGGAAACAACCCAGACCGCCAGCUAAGGUCCCAAAGUCAUGGUUAAGUGGGAAACGAUGUGGGAAGGCCCAGACAGCCAGGAUGUUGGCUUAGAAGCAGCCAUCAUUUAAAGAAAGCGUAAUAGCUCACUGGUCGAGUCGGCCUGCGCGGAAGAUGUAACGGGGCUAAACCAUGCACCGAAGCUGCGGCAGCGACGCUGAUGCGUUGUUGGGUAGGGGAGCGUUCUGUAAGCCUGUGAAGGUGUGCUGUGAGGCAUGCUGGAGGUAUCAGAAGUGCGAAUGCUGACAUAAGUAACGAUAAAGCGGGUGAAAAGCCCGCUCGCCGGAAGACCAAGGGUUCCUGUCCAACGUUAAUCGGGGCAGGGUGAGUCGACCCCUAAGGCGAGGCCGAAAGGCGUAGUCGAUGGGAAACAGGUUAAUAUUCCUGUACUUGGUGUUACUGCGAAGGGGGGACGGAGAAGGCUAUGUUGGCCGGGCGACGGUUGUCCCGGUUUAAGCGUGUAGGCUGGUUUUCCAGGCAAAUCCGGAAAACUAAGGCUGAGGCGUGAUGACGAGGCACUACGGUGCUGAAGCAACAAAUGCCCUGCUUCCAGGAAAAGCCUCUAAGCAUCAGGUAACAUCAAAUCGUACCCCAAACCGACACAGGUGGUCAGGUAGAGAAUACCAAGGCGCUUGAGAGAACUCGGGUGAAGGAACUAGGCAAAAUGGUGCCGUAACUUCGGGAGAAGGCACGCUGAUAUGUAGGUGAAGUCCCUCGCGGAUGGAGCUGAAAUCAGUCGAAGAUACCAGCUGGCUGCAACUGUUUAUUAAAAACACAGCACUGUGCAAACACGAAAGUGGACGUAUACGGUGUGACGCCUGCCCGGUGCCGGAAGGUUAAUUGAUGGGGUCAGCGCAAGCGAAGCUCUUGAUCGAAGCCCCGGUAAACGGCGGCCGUAACUAUAACGGUCCUAAGGUAGCGAAAUUCCUUGUCGGGUAAGUUCCGACCUGCACGAAUGGCGUAAUGAUGGCCAGGCUGUCUCCACCCGAGACUCAGUGAAAUUGAACUCGCUGUGAAGAUGCAGUGUACCCGCGGCAAGACGGAAAGACCCCGUGAACCUUUACUAUAGCUUGACACUGAACAUUGAGCCUUGAUGUGUAGGAUAGGUGGGAGGCUUUGAAGUGUGGACGCCAGUCUGCAUGGAGCCGACCUUGAAAUACCACCCUUUAAUGUUUGAUGUUCUAACGUUGACCCGUAAUCCGGGUUGCGGACAGUGUCUGGUGGGUAGUUUGACUGGGGCGGUCUCCUCCUAAAGAGUAACGGAGGAGCACGAAGGUUGGCUAAUCCUGGUCGGACAUCAGGAGGUUAGUGCAAUGGCAUAAGCCAGCUUGACUGCGAGCGUGACGGCGCGAGCAGGUGCGAAAGCAGGUCAUAGUGAUCCGGUGGUUCUGAAUGGAAGGGCCAUCGCUCAACGGAUAAAAGGUACUCCGGGGAUAACAGGCUGAUACCGCCCAAGAGUUCAUAUCGACGGCGGUGUUUGGCACCUCGAUGUCGGCUCAUCACAUCCUGGGGCUGAAGUAGGUCCCAAGGGUAUGGCUGUUCGCCAUUUAAAGUGGUACGCGAGCUGGGUUUAGAACGUCGUGAGACAGUUCGGUCCCUAUCUGCCGUGGGCGCUGGAGAACUGAGGGGGGCUGCUCCUAGUACGAGAGGACCGGAGUGGACGCAUCACUGGUGUUCGGGUUGUCAUGCCAAUGGCACUGCCCGGUAGCUAAAUGCGGAAGAGAUAAGUGCUGAAAGCAUCUAAGCACGAAACUUGCCCCGAGAUGAGUUCUCCCUGACUCCUUGAGAGUCCUGAAGGAACGUUGAAGACGACGACGUUGAUAGGCCGGGUGUGUAAGCGCAGCGAUGCGUUGAGCUAACCGGUACUAAUGAACCGUGAGGCUUAACCUU
rnacentral:rRNA from 1 species